rnacentral:rRNA from 1 species
CACGUAGGGCGCGAGCGUUGUCCGGAAUUAUUGGGCGUAAAGAGCUCGUAGGCGGUCUGUCGCGUCUGCCGUGAAAACCCGAGGCUUAACCUCGGGCCUGCGGUGGAUACGGGCAGACUAGAGGUAGGUAGGGGAGAAUGGAAUUCCCGGUGUAGCGGUGAAAUGCGCAGAUAUCGGGAGGAACACCGGUGGCGAAGGCGGUUCUCUGGGCCUUACCUGACGCUGAGGAGCGAAAGCGUGGGGAGCGAACAGG